AGGUGAACAUGAUGAAAGCUUUAACAAAGAGAAAUGGUCAUCAUCAAGCAUUACAUGUUUGAUAUGAUCCAAUUUCUAUCACUACGUUCUUUCUAACUCACCU
rfam:Glycine max cultivar Williams 82 chromosome 6, whole genome shotgun sequence.